AGCGAACGCUAGCGGCGGGCCUAACACAUGCAAGUCGAGCGGGGGAGCAAUCCCCAGCGGCGGACGGGUGAGUAACACGUAGGUUAUGUGCCCUUUGGUGGGGAAUAACCGUGGGAAACCAUGGCUAAUUCCGCAUAUCGAGCGAAAUCUUGAAAGCCUUCGGGCGCCAAAGGAGCAACCUGCGGCCCAUUAGCUUGUUGGUAGGGUAACGGCCUACCAAGGCGAUGAUGGGUAGCUGGUCUGAGAGGAUGAUCAGCCACACUGGAACUGAGACACGGUCCAGACUCCUACGGGAGGCAGCAGUGGGGAAUAUUGCGCAAUGGGCGAAAGCCUGACGCAGCCACGCCGCGUGAGUGAUGAAGGCCUUCGGGUCGUAAAC
rnacentral:rRNA from 1 species